rnacentral:rRNA from 1 species
GAUGAACGCUGGCGGCGUGCCUAAUACAUGCAAGUCGAGCGAACAGACGAGGAGCUUGCUCCUCUGACGUUAGCGGCGGACGGGUGAGUAACACGUGGAUAACCUACCUAUAAGACUGGGAUAACUUCGGGAAACCGGAGCUAAUACCGGAUAACAUGUUGAACCGCAUGGUUCAACAGUGAAAGACGGUUUUGCUGUCACUUAUAGAUGGAUCCGCGUCGCAUUAGCUAGUUGGUAAGGUAACGGCUUACCAAGGCAACGAUGCGUAGCCGACCUGAGAGGGUGAUCGGCCACACUGGAACUGAGACACGGUCCAGACUCCUACGGGAGGCAGCAGUAGGGAAUCUUCCGCAAUGGGCGAAAGCCUGACGGAGCAACGCCGCGUGAGUGAAGAAGGUCUUCAGAUCGUAAAACUCUGUUAUUAGGGAAGAACAAAUGUGUAAGUAACUAUGCACGUCUUGACGGUACCUAAUCAGAAAGCCACGGCUAACUACGUG